ACUCCUACGGGAGGCAGCAGUGGGGAAUAUUGCACAAUGGGGGAAACCCUGAUGCAGCCAUGCCGCGUGUGUGAAGAAGGCCUUCGGGUUGUAAAGCACUUUCAGCGAGGAGGAAAAGGGGUGUAAGUUAAUACCUUACAUCNGUGACGUUACUCGCAGAAGAAGCACCGGCUAACUCCGUGCCAGCAGCCGCGGUAAUACGGAGGGUGCGAGCGUUAAUCGGAAUUACUGGGCGUAAAGCGUGCGCAGGCGGUUUGUUAAGCGAGAUGUGAAAGCCCCGGGCUCAACCUGGGAACCGCAUUUCGAACUGGCAAACUAGAGUCUUGUAGAGGGGGGUAGAAUUCCAGGUGUAGCGGUGAAAUGCGUAGAGAUCUGGAGGAAUACCGGUGGCGAAGGCGGCCCCCUGGCACAAAGACUGACGCUCAGGCACGAAAGCGUGGGGAGCAAACAGGAUUAGAUACCCUGGUAGACAU
rnacentral:rRNA from 1 species